CAGCCGGUUAUCUAUAUACAUGUCCCUCACUGAAUAAAUACAAUCAAUUACCAUAAAAAUCCAAGGAAAAUGCAAAUAAUGAGUUCCCAGUGAAUAAAACUUCACAUAUGCUGUGAAGUAACAAUUGUAAGACAUGAAGAAUUAUCGGCGGAGACAAGUUCCUGGUGCUGAACGUUGGCCGAAGACGUAAUAAAAGACAAAAACAACCAAACAAACCGAGAAGACUCUACAAGUAAACACUACCAAGUUCUACAGUAACGUUCAAGCACAGUACCUGACAGACUUGACAAGAAAAGUUUUUGCAGUAACCAAGCUAGUAAGUGUUGUGCCCGGCUUUAAAUGAGAGAGAAUUG